ACUGGGACAGUUUUCUGUGUUAUUGAAACACUCUGAUCAGACAGCACUGAACUCCAGUGUUUAUUACAGGAUGGAAAAUACAUUUGUCUUGUGUUUAUUAUUUGUAGUCACUAUUCAUGGAGUUUGGAGUGAGAUCAAACUGGACCAGUCUCCAUCUGAGGUGAAAAGACCAGGAGACACAGUGAAGAUGUCAUGUGUCAUAUCUGGUUAUAGUAUGACAAGCUACAAUAUACACUGGAUACGCCAGAGGCCAGGGAAAGCUCUGGAGUGGAUUGGGAGGAUGAAUACAGGUUCAAACUCUGCUAUAUAUGGCAGCUCCUUUCAAAGCCGUUUCCCCAUGACUGAAGAUGUGUCCAGCAGCACUCAGUACCUCCAGGUCAAGAGUCUGACAGCAGAAGAUUCUGCUGUUUACUUCUGUGCUCGUGAAAGCACAGUGACUGAAGACAGAGGAGCAGCUGCACAAAAACCUCCACACGUAGCAAUGUGACCACAGUCGCAACUG